rnacentral:lncRNA from 1 species
UUUGGUAUUCUACCCAGUAAAAAGGUAGUCGUAAAUCCCAUUUCCCUUGUUGAGUCUAUCCCUGGUAUGUUCAUCUUAACCGAUGACGGAUUUUCUCUUCUCUUUUGGUAUUCUACCUGGUAACCGGUAGUUGUAAUUACUAUUUGUGGUAGUCUUCCUAGUAAGUGGUAGAUAAAAAUCAUAUUCUCCCUUUUGAGUCUAUCCUUGAUAUGUUCACUUUAAC